GUGGAUUAGAUACCCUGGUCGUCCACGCCGUAAACUAUGGACGCUAGCCGUUGGGUAGCUUGCUAUUCAGUGGCGCAGCUAACGCCUUAAGCGUCCCGCCUGGGGAGUACGGCCGCAAGGUUGAAACUCAAAGGAAUUGACGGGGGCCCGCACAAGCGGUGGAGCAUGUGGUUUAAUUCGACGCAACGCGCAGAACCUUACCAGGGUUUGACAUCCCAAGACCGCUCUUGAAAGAGAGUUUCCCCGCAAGGGGCUUGGAGACAGGUGCUGCACGGUCGUCGUCAACU
rnacentral:rRNA from 1 species